CAGUACCGUGAGGGAAAGGUGAAAAGCACCCCGGGAGGGGAGUGAAAUAGUACCUGAAACCGUGCGCUUACAAGCAGUCGGAGCACCUUAAUUGGUGUGACGGCGUGCCUUUUGUAGAAUGAGCCAGCGAGUUGCGGUAUGUGGCGAGGUUAAGCUCUGAUAAGCGAGCCGUAGCGAAAGCGAGUCCGAAGUGGGCGUAUAAGUCGCAUGCCGCAGACGCGAAGCCGGGUGAGCUAUCCAUGGGCAGGCUGAAGCGGGGGUAAGACCCCGUGGAGGGCCGAACCCACUUAGGUUGAAAACUGAGGGGAUGACCUGUGGAUAGGGGUGAAAGGCCAAUCAAACCCGGAGAUAUCUCGUUCUCCCCGAAAUAGCUUUAGGGCUAGCCUCGGUUGCUUACCGUCGCAGGUAGAGCACCGGAUGGGCGCGGGGGCCUCACCGCCUACCAACCCCAACCGAACUCCGAAUGGCGACGGUCUUGAGACCGGGAGUCAGAACGUGUGGGCUAAGCCGCGCGUUCGAAAGGGAAACAGCCCAGACCGCCCGCUAAGGCCCCCAAGUUCGUGUUAAGUGGCAAAGGAUGUGCGUUUGCCUAGACAACCAGGAUGUUGGCUUAGAAGCAGCCAUUCAUUUAAAGAGUGCGUAACAGCUCACUGGUCGAGUGGACAUGCGCCGACAAUAUACGGGGCUAAGCACGACGCCGAAGCGGCGGAACGAUCCUUCAAGGACCGUUGGUAGGGGAGCUUUCCUUGGGCAGCGAAGCUGAAGGGCGACCUUUGGUGGAGCCUUAAGGAAGUGAGAAUGCUGGCAUGAGUAACGAGAGCGGCGAGAGUAACGCCGCCGCCGUAAACCCAAGGUUUCCUGGGCGAGGCUAAUCCUCCCAGGGUCAGUCGGGAGCUAAGGCGAGGCCGGAAGGCGUAGCCGAUGCACAGCAGGCAGACAUUCCUGCACCUCCCGCAGACGUUCGAGCGAUGGGGUGACGGAGAAGGGUAGCUCGACGGGGUUCUGGACGUCCCCGCGAUGUCGCGUAGCCUGAGGGGUAGUAAAAUGCGCCCCUCGCAUAAGGGUGAGGCGACGGACGAAGCGCUUUAGCGAAGCGAGUGAGCCCAUGCUUCCUAGAAAAGCCUCUAGCAAGUCUGCGGGUGCCCGUACCGCAAACCGACACAGGUGGGUGGGUAGAACAUACCAAGGCGAUCGGGUCAACCAUGGUUAAGGAACUCGGCAAAAUGGCCCCGUAACUUCGGGAGAAGGGGCGGUGGCGCGGGUGAUAGAGCGUGCCUCUUGAGCCUGAGCCACUCACAGUAAAGAGGCCCAAACGACUGUUUACCAAAAACACAGGACUCUGCUGAAGUCGUAAGACGACGUAUAGGGUCUGACGCCUGCCCGGUGCCGGAAGGUCACGUGGAGUUGUCAGUCGCAAGACGAAGCAGCGAAACCAAGCCCCGGUAAACGGCGGCCGUAACUAUAACGGUCCUAAGGUAGCGAAAUUCCUUGUCGGGUAAGUUCCGACCUGCACGAAAGGCGUAACGAUUUGGGCGCUGUCUCAACCAUGGACCCGGUGAAAUUGCACUAGUCGUGAAGAUGCGACUUACCCGCGGAAGGACGGAAAGACCCCGUGAACCUUUACUGCAGCUAGACAUUGGCUGCCGGUCCGACGUGUAGAGGAUAGGUGGGAGACUGAGAACCACUGGCGCCAGCCGGUGGGGAGUCGCCCUUGGAAUACCACCCUCGUCGCUCUGGCAUCCUAACCUGCGACCGUUAUCCGGCGCAGGGACCGUGUCUGGUGGGUAGUUUGACUGGGGCGGUCGCCUCCUAAAGAGUAACGGAGGCGCGCAAAGGUCUGCUCGGGACGGUCGGCAACCGUCCUUUUGAGUGCAAGAGCAUAAGCAGGCUUCACUGCGAGACCAACAAGUCGAGCAGGUGGGAAACCAGGCUCUAGUGAUCCGGCGGCCCAGAGUGGAAUGGCCGUCGCUCAACGGAUAAAAGGUACUCCGGGGAUAACAGGCUGAUCUUCCCCAAGAGUCCACAUCGACGGGAAGGUUUGGCACCUCGAUGUCGGCUCAUCGCAUCCUGGGGCUGGAGCAGGUCCCAAGGGUUGGGCUGUUCGCCCAUUAAAGCGGUACGCGAGCUGGGUU
rnacentral:rRNA from 1 species